rnacentral:tRNA from 1 species
GCCCCGAUCGUUUAGAGGUCUAGGACGCCGCCCUCUCACGGCGGUGGCACGGGUUCAAAUCCCGUUCGGGGUA